rnacentral:other from 1 species
GUUUACUGCUACAUAGGCAGCUUAGAAA